AUCUCCCAGAGGGUGGGAAUUACUUGGACGGAGGGUUCAUUUUUGAACUUAAGACCCUUCGAAACCGUAGGCUGGAGGGACUGAAAAGGAAGAGUGAUUGCUUUCGCCCUGGCCAUCUGAAGGAAAGGCUGGAUCUAUAAAUACACAGCCGCUCGUUCGACCCUUUCCCCACUAUGGAGGCAUGCCUGGGAUUAUGCAGAGACAGCGGUUUCAAAUGGUUUGUGGUCUGGUUUGGUUUUGCUCUAAAGAUACCUUGGCAUUGUUUCAUAGUGAGGUCAACGUUUGCCUUUUUCAUUCUGAAAGAAAAGAGACACGUGAAGUAGUUCUCUCGAGACGGGCGACAAAUCGGGCAGGGCCACGAGCGGCUCCCCCAGCGGGAGCCCCCACCACAACCUGGCGCAGCCUGCGACGCCCUUUAAUUAGCGAGACGGCAACCCGUGGGCCAACACUGCAAUUAAAUCGCUGCUCUUUGCUUCUCCGGGGACCUCUCCCACCCAUCCCCAGGCCUCAGCCCUGCGGCGAGGGGCAUGCCGGGAGAGUCGGAUGCCAGCGUGGCAUCCCAGUCACCCCAGCGUUGCAUCCCACGGACCCCGCUGGGCUCUCACAGCCUCCGUGCCCUAGACGAGAAGGUUUUGGGAGCUGCAGGAAGAGCAGGGCGGAUGCACAGAGAAAUUAAAUGAGCCAAAUUGGUUCCCAAUCAUAUCGAUUGAGCAGACCUCAAAUUGUUCCAAAAAUCAUGUCGACUGAGCAGGGGGAACUCAGCACCACGUACGGCGCUACAACCAGCGGGCAUCCUCCAUCCCACACCUCUCACCCUAGGACUUCAAAUCAUGAACGACACAUGCACCCGGCGGCAGGAGCGCGGCAGCGGUGUCUAUUUGAUGGUAGCCCCGACUGGAGAAGGAGUAACAGAGAAGAGAAGAGGUCUCAGAAGCUAAAUGGAGAGCGCGCAAUUGUCCCAACCUGUGACGUGUGACAUGCGGUCAGAGACCCGACGCGAGUCAAAUUUGUCAGCUGAAACUUCUUUGCAGAUUUAGGCUGAGCAAAGCCAUUAGGGAAUUUGCAUUUGGUGCGUUGUUUGUAUAAAAGAAAAACACGCAUUUUUUCGACAUCCCCGAAACAAAAUUGUUUGAUUGAUUUUUUUUUUUUAAUUUGAAAUGAAUUUGUUUAAAAAUGGUUUUCUGAACAUUUCAGGAAAGUUUUCUUUCAAAGUGACCAGAAAUGAAUUUCCUUUUUUUUUCUUUGUUUUUAAUUGCCAGGGAAGUGAAAAUUCAUUUAUCCACUGAGCUCUAGCAGGGGCUACUGGUUUGACAUCUCUGAGAGGUGGAACUACUGAGCCUCAUCCCAGUCCACACUGACUCUGAGGUAGAGAGUCAUUUAAGCCAUGUCUAAGCCUGCACACUUUCAUUAGAUUUCCUAUAUUUUCCCUAAUAAUCAUAGAAAAAUAGUGUGGAAAGGCACCGCUGGAGGUCACAGCCAGUCCAACCCCCUGCUCAAGGCAAGAUCAUCCCAAUCUCUUUUGCAAAACUCACGGCUGCCCUAAUUUCUGCUCAGUGCCACCAGUCCAAGUGAUGCAGUGGAGGCACCGGUGGUAAUACCAUGACGUGAAAAACAAGGAUUUUUAGGGGGGUGACUUUUUAUUGAAUGAACGGCAUAGUUGGGAGAGAUUUAAAUACCAGGUAUGGACAUUUUUGAGCACCUUCUAACUCUCAGCCUACUCAGAAUCACUGGAGUGAGACAGACAGAUGCAUUCCUAUUGGUUUUGCAUGCUAGUUUAGUCUCUGGGGAGGGUAAGAAAAAUGGGACUGUAAAGAAAAUCAAACUGCCUUACUGCAACGGGGGCUCCUACCCCAUCACUGAAGCAGAGAGGAGGCCACGGAGCAACCUUCUGGACAAACUCAUAGUGUCAGAGGACCCUUGAAUAAAAUGAUGGCUUGCCCCGGGUGCACUCAGCACUGUGCAGCCGGUGACUGACAGACAGAAGUAGUGGGUGAGAUGACCCAGAGAGGGACAUAUAAUCCCAGGGCCUGAAGCAAGGGGGUCCAGUCUGGCCCUGCAGGCUGCAAGCAGAGCUCCAGGGAGGAGCAAGGAGGAAGGACUCCAGGCUGCAAAGAAGCUGCAGAAGCCCCUGCACCACCAGGAGCCCGAAGACAAGUAUUUGGGGCUCUUGUAGGCUGCCAUGGCAUGGUGUUGACCCACGGUGGGGAACCUUUCGUUUGAGAGAAGAUGCUUAUAUUUUUUCCAUUUGUGUUUAAAUACUGGGUUGUGGCUAGAGAGGUGGAGGAGAGCACCAAGAAGGGUGCCAAGGGCACCCCUGUGCCUCCUAGGGGCAGCCUCCCUGUCCAAGGUGUGGUAGGCGAGACAACAGGGUGGGACCCUGAAAUGCCAGAGGGGACAAGCAAGGUGGGUCCAGGCAACCACCAUCCGGUAACUUUGCUGCCCCAAUGUUGGAUGCACUACAGAUCCCAGCAGAUGUCCUUAUGAUGGCUGUCCCCCAGCCUAAAUGAAGAUCCCGACUGGCUGUGCUUAGCUUGGAAGCUCCCACGCAACCACAAUCCGGCAUUGCAGGUAAAAUCAGCCUGAGAAGAAGGAAAAUACAGUUUAAAUACUGGUAGAGUGAUACCUUUAAAUCCUUCAGUGUGCAUGCUGAGGCAGAUGUGCUCCGCCGGCUUGUUCUGACAUGCUCACCUUGGCCGAGGGGACAGAUCUCAAAGAGCUGCAGUUGAAGUUUAACUACUCAGGAUCGAUGUUUAGAUCACACCAUGUGCUGGGAAUUUAAACAGGAGUAUCUUUAUUUUAAAGCAUAACACUUACUCAUCAACAAGCUGCCUUGUCUCCUGCAAAGGGAUAAAUUAUCUCCAUCUGAAAAAUUGAUUGGAUUCAAUUGUUAGAGGCCGUAUCUGCCCAGACUUCACGGCAGCCUUUAACAAAGUGUUGUGGCAGAGCUGGGUUAACACGCUGCCUAUGUGGCCGGUGAAAAUAGGAUCAAACUGUCCCAUGCAGCAAAUGUCGUUGCCUAUGGGCUAGAACCAUUUCUGAUGCAAAAAGGUACAACCUCAGCAAAAUCAAUGAAGGUGCAGCAUCUUACUCCAAGACUCAUUUUAGCCUGGAUUGUUUGUUUGUCUGUAUUGAGCAGCAUUUUUCACCUGGUUACAUGUCAGUGCAAAGAAAAUAGUGACUUUUUUCCCCACUGUGUGUCCGUAAAGUCACGCUCACAAUUCUGUUCUGGGCUGUUUUGCGGCUCAGAACUGUUUGUCCAUAAAAUGCUUGCCCGGUGGUGAUAAUCCUGUUGAAACGUAACAUGUUGGCACUUUGCAGGGUUUAAUGCAAAGAUUGGUCUUUGCCAGAAAAGCAGGCAAAUACUCUGUAACUUUUUUUUUUUUUUAAAUGAGGUCAUUUGGAGUGACGCCUGGCCUUUUUUUUUUACCUCUGAUUAAUAACAGCAUCUAGCAGAUGCAGUUCUCUUUAGUAAAGAUGUUAGUAGCAUUAUCCCCAUUUAAAAGGUGGGGAAAAUGAGGCACCAAGCGGUGAAGCAACUCAUCCAGGAUCGCUAGGUAGACCAGUACAAAGUUCAGGUAAGAACCCAGGCUUUCUGCAUCCAAGUCCUCCGCUCUACUUGCUAACUAAUGCUGCCUCUCAAAAAAAAUCAUGGGCAAUCCCUUGCAAUAGAGGACAAUUGUCUUCCAUGAUUGUCUUAUCUGUGAGGCUGAAGAUGCUGAAGAUGCCUGGUGAGGCCUAGCCAGGAUUGCCCGACACUGUUGCAGCUUGGGCACUUGUUUCUGCGCAGGGUGGGUGGCUCCGGAUUUUUGAUUCAGCCCACAACAUGCUGUUUCUGCUGCUCCCGCUUUUCCAUCUCCUGUUGUUGCUGUAAGGUUUCAAAGUGCUGAGAUCCUUGCAGCAGCUCCUCCUUUUGGCACGGUCCUAGGGGAUAGCCUCCCGUGCAUUGACAAGGAUGUUGCAUUUUUUCAAGCUGGCGUUGAGGAUGUCCUUGAAGCACUUUCUUUGACUUCUCCUUGAGUGUAGGCCUUGACUGAGUUGAGACAAUAAAACUUGCUUCGGGAGUCUGGAGCUGGACACCUGGUUGAUGUUGGAUGAGCAUCGCCUCAAAGCUCAUGGCAUUUUCUUGCAAGAGGAUGCUAAUGUUGGUGCAUCUGUCUUCCCACUCGAUUGGAAAGAUCUUCUGCAGGCAGCAUUGAUGGUAAUUCUCCAGUGGCUUGAGGUGUCUCCUGUACGUGGUCCAUGUCUCAGCUCCAUACAGUAAGAAGGAAAUGAUGACUGCUUGAUAAACCAUGGGGUUGGUUUUGGAUCUGAUGUUGCGGUCGUCAAACACCCAUUUCCUCAGGCAUCCAAAGGCUGCACUUGCAUAUUUGAGGCGAUGUUGGAUUUCUUCAUUGAUCUCGGCUUUCUGUGAAACAUGGGAAAUUCUCAACGCUCUCCAGAGAGUCUCCGUUGGUUUUGAGUGGUUAGCUAGGAAAGUUUGGCAUUUCUUCUCCCCUGCCUCAAAAGUUGGAUCACUUUCAGUGGUAGAAAUGAGGGCUAAAAACAUCUGUCAGAUUUGGCAUGGUGGUACUAGUUUAGAAACCAGGUUGGGCCCAUUUAUGCUGGGAAGCCAUGCUGUAUUAGAUUCACAUUAGCCAGGUGUGAACUAAGGUUAAAUAGAACUGCAGUCUCCAUGUCCACGGCAGGGAAAUGUUUGCUGCCUGCACCUCUACGUCUGCCAGCCCAAGCGCCCACAACGUCUGCACAGGGAAAGCCAGCUUUAGGCCUAGGGUACCAUGAGAGCUGCUCUGGCUCACUUGUAACCAGGCAUCCUGGAGCAUCCUACCAAGCCAUUUUAGAGCCAGCCCAUGGUUCCCUGAUGCAAGCUGACCCCACUGUACAGUCAGAGGGGCAUGAAAAGGCAGGAAAACUGCUGCAACUCUCUGGUCUCUACUGUUGUGGAUGCCUUUAGGGGGACUUUUGGGACUCUUCUCCCUGCAGUCUCCACAGUAUGGGUGCACAAGAGGGUGGGGAGCCCAAAGAUGUUUUAGUUUAUGCCAGUAGAGAUCUGGCAAUAGAAUAAAGGGCUGCAGCCAGCUUUUAUCUGGUCCCCCUUCCUCUGUUCUGCCCAACAGAAAUGGGGUGCAGCAGAGAAUCCUGUCCCCAUAGCGUGCUGCUUCUCCCACCAUCUCCACACCCACUCCCCAAACAACCCUAAUUCCCCAUGGGACCCAAAUGAUCAUUGCCACACAUCUAUGAGCCUGGAAGGGUAGGUUUAGUAGUAAGGUUGCCUCCAGACAGGGCUGUUGCUCCAAAUGCAAUAGGAAGCCUUCUGCUUCCAGCUUCUGUAGGCAGAGAAUGGGUGCUGUGCCAACAAGGCUCCUGUUGCCGAAAAAUAAAUACAUAAGAAGGAAAUUAAAGCUCCUCAUGGUUUUCAGGUCUCUCUGCCAUAUCAGUCGAGUUCAUGAAGCUUUGAUUUCACCUUGCUGAAGGGUCUCGGGAUGCCUCUGCAAAACUCUUGACUACAAUGCCGAGACGCUGCCUUGCUAUACAUUUGAAAUCAAAGCUCACGUCCUUGUCAGGGACAUACACCGCUAGAGAGGGGUAAGCCUCAAAUGGGCAGAGGAGCAUCCAAAAAAAUGGAUCAGCACUCGAUUUGCUCUUUAUAACAGGCUGGGGGUUUCACGGGCCAAGGCUGUCUAAGAAGACUUCCUGCAAUGGCUGAUUACAGCCAGGUAAGAAAUGGUAUAAAAGCAGCUUUACUAUCACGCUGCAUCAGCAUUUCUGCGUCCUUGCCAGGAAACUCUGAAGAUACCAGAUGUCUGUAGUGUUAGAGGGAUGUUGUAGCCAUGUCUGCUUCUUUCUCAAGCCUCAGGAAGGACACUCUGUGCCCGAAAGCUUGUCUAAACCUCUUCCAACUAUGCCGUUGGUCCAGUAAAAGAUAUCAGCUGCAAUAUGUCUAUAGAGGUGUAAAAAAGGAGCGGAGAGAUGAUAUACAGAUCUGUGCUGCUGCAGUUCAUUCACAUCUGGAAAGAUCAAGGGCAAAACUGGACACAUGGAAGUUAUACUGAUGUUCAUGCCAUGUCCCUGCAGCUGAUUGCAGGUCAGCUGUUUUCUCAAGGCAAAUGGGCUGUUUCUUGCCCCAGUGAGGAGUGGCAGAAAUAGCUUCCCACUAUGUGCACAUACUCUUAGAUAACUGCUCCAGCCACUCUGGCUCUGGGUACAGUUGACAUCAGUGUACCAAAGUGAUGUAGAUUAGACUGGUGUAAACAGGUGGGAUGUACAUACAUAGGAUUUAGGAGAAAUGAAGGGAACAACAAAGUGAUUCAUAGAGCCCUUUCCAACUUUAUAAGAGGUCGGGGCUUUGCCUAGAUCAUGGCUUGAGCAGAGGGCAGAGACAACCGGCUGUUACAAUCCUCCCUCUGCCCCAUUUUUAGGACUGUGAGUACUGCUCUACCAGUGACUUGGCCCCUACCUUUAAUGUUGACUCGACAGCAAGCGCUGGAUCGUGUCAGCCUUUUCUCAUCAGAAGCAAAGUAAAAAAGAUGCCGGAAGUAUAUUGAUUCAGGGUGCGGUGAUCUUUCUUCAAUCCAUCUCAUCCUGCUUGCAAAGGAGCUGUAGGUUACUACAGGAUCUACAGGGAUCCUAAAUAUGUACGGCUAUUCUUGUAGUAUGUUUUGUAAGAUUAGGGGUGUCCCAUGUCUGGGAAAAAUGCCAAUUAAGUGACUGCAUUCUGCCUCCCUCGGGGUCCCCUCUUUUCCCUGUGCUGUUCUGUACUGUUGCUGUGUGUCGUUUCAUAGAUUCAUAGAAGUCAGGUGGGAAGGGACCUUGUAGAUCAUCAAGUCCGACCCCCUGCCUGGGCAGGAGAGAAAACUGGGCUCAAAUGACCCCAGCCAGGUAGACAUCAAGCCUCCUUUUAAAGACCCCCAGGGUAGGAGCCAGCACCACUUCCCUUGGAAGUUGGUUCCAGAUCCUAGCCGCCCUGACUGUGAAGUAGUGCCUUCGGAUGUCUAGUCUAAACCUACUCUCUAACAAUUUGUGGCCGUUAUUCCUUGUUACCCUGGGGUGUGCUCAGGGGAACAGGGUCUCUCCCAAACCCUUCUGGUUCCCCCCUGGUGAGUUUAUAGACAGCCACCAGGUCCCCCCUCAGCCUUCUCUUGUAGAGGCUGAACAGGUUCAGGUCCCAUAGCCUCUCCUUGUAGGGUCUGCCCUGCUGCCCCUGAUCAUGUGAGUGGCCCUCCUCUGGACCCUCUUCAUGCUGACCACAUCCCUUCUGAAGUGCGGCGCCCAGAACUGGGCACAGUACUCCAGCUGCGGCCUGACCAGUGUCACAUACAGGGGAAGGAUCACCUCCUUGGACCUGCUCGUGAUGCAUCUGCACUUGUCAGUAUUGAAACCCAUCCUAUUUUCGUUAGCCCACCCCUGUAACCUGUCCAGGUCCUGCUGUAAUCUGUCCUUCCCUACUAGUGUGCCCACCUCACCCCAAAUCUUGGUGUCAUCAGCAAAUUUAAACAGGCUGCUUUUUACCCUGUUGUCCAAGUCACUAAUAAAGAAAUUGAAGAGUGCAGGCCUGAGGACCGAGCCCUGGGGGACUCCAAUGCCCACUUCCUUCCAGGUAAAAAAUGACCCAUCUACCACCACCUCUGAGUACGACCCUUCAGCCAAUUUGCAAUCCAUCUGACUGUGCAGGCAUCAAUGCCAGAGUCGCCUAGUUUUUUGAUGAGAAUGGGGUGGGAGACGGUGUCAAAGGCCUUGCUGAAGUCCAGAAAGACUACAUCCACGGCAACACCUGCAUCCAAUGCUUUUGUGACCUGAUCGUAAAAGGCAAUCAGGUUGGUCUGACAGGACCUGCCCCUAAUGAACCCAUGUUGGUUGCCCUUGAGCAUCAUCCCCAAUGCCGGCCCAUCACAGAUGUGCUCCUUGAUGAUCUUCUCAAAGAGUUUCCCCAGGAUUGAAGUAAGACUAAUCGUUAAACCAUUGUAAUGCUCCACAUCAGAACGGUCAGACAAAAUUAUUCCUCCUGUAGACAUUUAAGGCAAAAUUGUCAAGAGCAUAGGACCCACAAUCCAGGACUGAGUUUCUAAAGCACGUCAGCGUGUUGGGCUCUUUGGAGAAAUCUGGCCCGAAUCGUGCCUGCUGAGUCCUGCUAGAGAUUAUGUCCAUAAAUGCAAUCUUGUCAGAGUCUGGGUGCUUCUACUGAGAUGCCAGGAACUUGGGAUGCAGCUCUUUGGAUUCACCAUUACAUGGGGCCCAUGACUGGAAUAAUUGGUAAAGCCCUGUGGAUGAAAGAUGGGUCAAACGUUCACAUAAACUUCAGUCCAACUCCACGGUGGUGCAUGCUCACAUGGGCACAAUUAUGAUCCAGUACCAUUUGUGAACAUGCAAGUGAUUCAGUACACACACAAAGCUAUUUUCUUUGAUAGUCAUGAUCAAGUAGGGUUUUUUCAGGCAUGCUUAGAUAAAAGUGGCAGAACACAAUAAGGGCUGCAUCCUCAACUGGCUUAAAAAGCUUAAGAUCAAGGAUUUAUUCAAACCCAGCACUUUCCCAUUCUUUAGCCUCCAAAAUGGAAAGAAAUUAAGUGAUUUUUUUUUUCAAGAAACUGAAGAUGAUGCUGUAGUGCAGACUUCUGGUUUUAAAGAACAUCAUAUAAAACCACUUAAUAUUGACCCUGGAAGCAAACAUACCUCCCUAGGUGAGAAAAGACCUCUUCAAACAGGGAGAGACAGAACAGGUUUCAGAGAUCUGGUGAUUGAAUUUGAGUGGUUUGUGCAAACGUGUCAGAUCACAGACCCGCUUAGCCGAAGAUGUUGAUGGGUUUUCUCACGCUGCGGGGCAGAGCAGGCUGGCAGGAUGGUGUUGCCUCAUAUACUCGUGCACAGUUCAGUACAGUGAGAACUUGGCUUAGGAGAGUCCAGGAUUGAGAUAAUAAGGAAACCGAUGUUGUCUUUUGCCUGGCUGAAUAAGAGGGGCUUUGUUCAGGGGACAGGGCGUGGGUCACGGGUAGAGCGGCAGGAGAGAGAUUUGCUUUCAGCUACCUGCAACUAAACUAUGACAGGAAUGCUGCCGUCCUGCAGGCUCCUUUCUGUCUUUAGAAAUGGAAAGAUAUUAACCAGCGGUAUUGUUUGAUAUUAACUGGACUAAAAAACACCUGUGAAAGGUUUGAUUGUUCUUCUACGUGAGUCACUUCCCGAUUCAGAUGAAUAAUGGGCAAAACCCUUAAGGGACCCACAACCCCUGCAACUUCCAUGGAAAUCAGUUGCAUUCACUGCCUCUUCUUUGUCCAGCAGGCAUGCUAAGGGUCAUAGCAGCAGGCCAGGACCUCCUAAAUUCAGGCACUUUAAAUGCACAGAACAAAAAGACAGUAUCUGCCCCAGAGAAGGUACGAUCCAAGUCUAAGACAAGCGAAAAUGGGUGAGCACCAGCACUAGAUACAAAGACGCACUGUUGGCAAGCUGGAUAGGCAGUGAUGCCACCAGACGAAACCUGGCGUCUGCUUCUCUUUUGUGAUGUACACACUAGGCAUUCACAGAUAAGCAGGAAGGUGCUGAUUUGGUAUUUGGGACACAGCAGCUGUUUCUUUCUGACCUGUGCAGAUGCCGCGGGGUGAGUGGUGCCUCCAGGUGUUCCUAUGAUGGGUCAAAUUCCAGUGCUGGUAGUGGAUAAUCCAUUUUUGGCGUGUCCAACGUGACUAAGAAUUGGGAAGAGGCUGCUACCAGGGGAAAAUCCUGUUGCAUGAGUCAAUGAGUGACAUUCAUUUCCCUCCCAUGCUGGGGCAUGGUGCUUCUUUAAUGGGGAAGAAAGGCACGUUGCCGGGAUGGGAGAUGCUGCGGGUAUGUCACAGGUCUGAGGGAAAAAGCCUUGUUCACUCAUUCCCGCUCUAUAUACAUUAACCCUGGAAACAAGGCAAGGAGAGGGACCCUUGGAGAUAUGCCAAGGUGUUUCCUUGAGCAUGCAAGAAAACCCAGGUCUCGAGCACUGUGCCGUGGGUAUCUGCAGAGCACCCACACUGCCUCAUUUUCAGAGUCGAAGCAGGGAUAGAAAUGUACUUCCAACACAUGCCUCUGAGACACAAAAGUCCUUGUGGCUACAUGGAGGUGAGGAGCAAUGUGCCCGUGUGGGGAUACCAAAACUUUGCCCAGAAGGAUCUCACCACCUAAUAGAGAUAGAGGGGAUUUCUCCCUCUCUUAAUGCAGAUGUCAAACUCCUCUGGGUCUACCAGUAGCAGGCGGUUUGUACUCCCCAGUCAUAUGUUUUGUGAUCCAGGGGCAGCUGUUGAACUUCACGCAGACUGAGAUUGAGACAUCUGAUCAAAUACAUCCCUCCUCCGCUAAGCUGGAAGCAAAGCCAUUAGGGGAGUUUUAGAUCUACUUGUUUAUUUUUACUGCUCUGCUAAUUGAAUGCAAUCCUGAAUGUCUUUGGCAUCGAGCGCAAGACCUUUCGUCAGGCCGUCCUCGGUGCGAGGCAGCGUGGGGAUUCUUUACUAAUGCGUGUGGCUUCUUCUUCCAGUAACAGGCACAUACGUAUCCUGCCGAGAGCUGGAGCCGGGUUGAUAGAUGGGACUCGUUAGUUUUUAAUUGGGUUUACCGAAUGUGGAAAAGCAAACAAAUAAAAUGUGAAAGGGAGAGUACUCGAGAUACAAAGGCAUCCACGGAGGGAGGGAGAACCAGUGGAAGAGGAUGGCAGCAGACUCUUGCGGGAAGCUCAAGAGGUUAAGUUGGUGCAUCGGUGGAGAAGAAAACAACCGCUUGGUGCGUCCAUCAAAGCCCAGAUCCUGGUUGUGCCAGGAGUAUAUUUCCCAGAGAAAAAAAGGGAGCAUGGGCAUCUUCACCAAGCCCCCUAGUCUGUUAUGGUGAGGCAAUGCAUCAGCUCAAUCCAUUGCUUUUGAAAGAUGUGAGCAUUCAAUUAGAAGCUCUCCACUAUCGGGAGACCAUGCUUAUCCCAAUCAGGCACUUCAGGAAGCUGUGGGUGAGCCACCCAGACUCAUCUGCUUCCAGUUCAGCCCUGCGAGGGGCCAGGGGUGCAAGUAGAAGAGCAGUCUGGCCCCGUGCUACACUCUUCCUCAUCAGUGCCCUCUGGAGUUGCGGGAUAAGAAGCAUCCAGAUGGUAGCCAGCUUAGGGCCUUGCAUGGAGAAGCUGAAGGGUAAGUAGAUAUCCGCCCUUUGCCUGUGUAUCUAGCCCCACUCCUGUGAUGGGUUUGGUGGCUGCAAGCAUCUGUUAGGACAACUUCAGCUCCUUUGGUUGCUGUGGUCUUCCUCCAGACAGUUUGAAGCCUACUCUAUCACUUCUUCAAGCAGACUGUUGUAGACCCUGCAAAUAUUAGAGGCAGUUCCUAUCACCACUUGGGAGAUGUCAGGUCUAUAGGACCCUACUGGGCAACACGUCCUGUUGUCUUAUUAAAGAACCAGACUUCUUUUUCUGGGUUCCCUUUCCAUCUCCGACAUCCUGCCAUAUCCCCCGAUGGCAACUCAUCCGUCCUUCUAGACUCCCAGUAGGGUCCCAGUAAUUAGUCUUAGCAGUAAUUUCUUUUCUACUGCCACUUGUAUAGACUAUGUAAAUCCUAUGUUUCUUUCUGGGGGGGGAAGAGAGAAGUAUCAUCCUUGGAAGCAGCAUUUUAUUGGAAUCAAACUAGCUUGGGAGGAGGGGACAGUGGAUGAAAGUGAAUCCUACAGCCUCAGCAAACUACAUCCAUGGAACAGGAAAAUAUUAUGGAGACAUGUCUUCCUUUCCUCCCCAACUGUGAAUGUUGAAAAACGAAUGAAUAAAAAUGCUUAGGGAUCUGUUCAGAAGUGGGAGUUGCUACCCCCCGCUGCAGGCACAUCGCAGUGCAUAAUCUACCCACUAACCAUCGCUGCCUGUGCAGCACAGUGGGCUUUUUACACCAGCCCCUACUGCAUGCAAAUCAUGUUGUGCAGUUUCCACGCCACCUGCCACUCCAUAUAGAUUGCAGGAUGUGGCCGGCACACCACCCACCCCUGCAAACUCGUUGCAUUGUGUAGUCUACGCACCACCCGCUGCUGCAAAAAUCUUGCACUGUGUGGUCUCUCCGCUCCCUGCAUACCCUUUGCACUGUGUACUGCUCACCACUGCAUACACAGCAGGUAGAAAGAGAAAAUUACCAAAAAAGGACUAAAAAAUAAGAGGCUCUACAAACAAACGAUACCUUUCCUGCAUGGCAGGCCAAUGUCUUUUGUGGCUUUAAAUAUGCUUUGCAGCAUCCCUUGAGACCUCCUACCACCUCCUUUCUUUCUUCAUUCCUGGGGACCUCCCAAACCUAACUUGGGCCCUUCCCUACUACCUAGCCCCCAUCUCUUGUUUUCUCUUGUCCCGGGUGUUGUCUAUCUCUUUGCCUCCCCUCUCCUGCCCUGAGUCCUUGUCCAUAUCCAUUAUAUCCCCACACCCUCUUUUUCUUCAAAGAUUUUUCAGAGCGUGGUGUAUUUUUGCAAAAGCCUUCUCUUCCCUGGGAUCUGUUGAGUUGUUUGUAGGUCCGUCUCCAGUUGCUUGCCUUCCCAGAUUCUCAAGGUAGAUGGGCUCCCCUUCCACAACAUGGUCAAAUCCUGCCUUAGCAUUUUGAGGUGGGUUUGCAAAGCCAUUUUUCAUCUUGCCCGCUCUAUCUAGCUUUAGGGAAAUACAAUAUGCUCAUUGCGUGUGGCAUCCCAGGCUGAGACAGAAUUCAAGCCCAGGGUACAAAAGCUAGCAGUGCAGAACAGCAUACUUAAAUAACAGAUUUCUAAAGGCUCCCAGGCCGACAAUCACCCACAAGUACAGCAUCGUUCCUGCAACAUGCAGCACUCCAGGGAAUAUACUGAAGAACUACUUGACUCCCCCAGAGAAACUGCCAACAAUAUAGGAAAUAAAAGACCACUAAACUCAAGGUGAGGAUGAAUCAUGUGGCCCGUAGGGAUGCUUGAAGAGAGCUUUGAUUAUCUUGUACUUUAGUGAACGAGCAUCUCUGAAUUAAAGGAAUAGAAAAAACACAUUACUAAAAAUAUAGGUAGCACAGACACAGGAACAUGCAGAUCUGGGUCCUCUUUGAUCACCUCUCCUCUAAUCUCGGUAUGAACAAAACACUGUCACCAGCCCUUAACAUGUAGUUUGUACAGCAUGCACAUCCUUCACAGCCCAAAUAUCUGGGCAGCACUUCCCAUUCUGUUCAGAUGUUAUGAAAUGCAGUCUGGACAGCAUGGACUAUAGGGACUGCAUGGACUGCAGAAAUGCAGCAUGGGCAACAUGGACUAUAGGGAUUUGCUUCCUGUCAAUAUAAUUGCCAUCCAACAUACAAAUUGGCUGGGACUGCCCUUCAAUAUACAAAUUACACUGGCUGGGACUUAGGAGACCUGGGUCUUACUCCUGGCCGUGUGAUGGGUCUUCAGACCCAUCUGGCAGGUGACUUUGCUGCUUUUAUUUCUCAUUUUCCUCUUCUGUACAAUGGGGAUGAUGGUACCGAUCUGUUUUAUGAAGGGCUUUGUGAUUAAAAAUGUGAAAUGCGGGGGAGGUAUUACUUUUUCCCUCCAAAUACACAUGGCAAAAAUGUGAAGGUUGCAAAGCCAAACAAAGGUUAGAAGAUUCAGAGUGAAGGUCACCCAUUCAAUAUGACUUUGGGCCCCUUAUGCCCACCCCUGCUCUACACUCAAUAUAAUUGAGUGCUUUUUUGCUCUUCCUUCGACAAACAUACCCUGACAAUACCCUGUAUGACCAUGAUAUGUCCCAAAUAACCACGCUUACCAGCUACAUACAACAUGGAAAGCCUGAGGACAAAUACAAGCUGCUGCUCUGGUGGGCUUCUGAAACACAGAAAACGGUGGGAGCCGCUACACGGACCACAAACUAUUUUUGUUGGUGAUUGCCGUGGUCCACCUUCUGAUAGGGGUGAGACACCUGGCGCAAGUAACUCCAGUCCUUUAACAACUGCACUGGCUCCCAGUAGUUUUCUAGGCACAGUUGAAGGGCGCUGGUCUUGACCUAUCUUAAAUGGUCUGGACCCUACAUAGCUAAAGGACCACCUUCCCUUUUUAUGCCCCAUCACGAUCCUUAAUGUCAGCCUAGAGCAACCUCCUGCAAGUACCAUUAGUGCAUCAAGUCUGCCUGGUAAAACUUGUGGGGCGUCAUUCUCAGUUUUGGCUCCUUGGCUCUAGAAAUCCCUCCUUCUUCAAGGCCUGCCAGAUCCCAAGCCUGGACAUCUUUGGCAGCAUUGUUAGACCUUCCUAUCUGGGCAGGUGUUUGGCAAACAAGGCUAGGUCGAGAUGUUGUUUAAUGGGUCUCUUUUAUUGGGACAGUCUAGUUGCCUUUUUAAAUUGCUUUCUUUUCUCACUGUAAGCUGCCCUGAGCCUUUGUUGGGAAGAGCGGCAUAUAAAUCGCAUAAAUAAAAUAAUAAAUAUUUAAAAGUAUGCCACCCCCCUUCCUACACACUGCAUUCCUUAUGGAAAUUUCUGUGGCAUUUGCAGUCUAGUAUUUGACUAUUUCAUGCACAUUAGUGGAUGUAUCUUUACAAGACUGCAGGAGAUGAGCUGAUAAAAUUGCCCCAGUUUUACAAGGAAUGAGGCAGAAAUAACGAGGCUCGCAUUGUCCGAACUGCCCGCUGCUCAACCGGAGUCCCUAAGGACCUGAUUGGGCUGGGAACUUGGCAUCCAGACAGCAUUUCGUAUAUUCAAAACACAGCACUGCUGUUGCGAGCGCUCAGCAUUUCUCCAAUUUUCCUAAUUAGAAUAAAAUACAGAGGAAAACACCUGAAAACCAGGGGGAAAUAAGACCAGAGAUUCUGUCAUGUAGAUCCACAGUGAUGAUCCACCUGGGGUCUUUAGCAGAGCUGGACGUGUAGAUCCACAGCAGAGAUCUCUAGCACGUGAGUCACUGGUAGCAGUAGAAGGCUGUUGUCCUCCGUAUGGACCAGGCGGUAGAGGAGGACGAGGUGCUUCUUUUGCCAGUGGGUUUCACAGCUGCCUGUAGAGGAAGGGUGAGACUCAGACCCCCGGGGUUGACUUCCAGGGUCUGGGGUGGUUACAGACUCUUCUCUUGUCCGUGGUCCCAUUAUACCUCUGCUGCUAUCUGGUCUCUCCAUUCCUCUUGCCUCCUCCUCUUCCUGCCCCUAUCAGCCCACCUCUUAUACCUCUUUUCCCCUAUGUUCCCAUUCAUCCACCUCCACCAGCUCCUCUGCUGCCUUCAUCCUCUGGCUACUGAAACUUGUAUCUCUCCCAAGAUUUCUUUUUCGAUCCCUCUGCUUUCCAGUCACAUGCCUCCCUUGUUAUCUUUGCUGCAUGGACUUUGGCAUUAGGGGCAAUAAAUAUAAGAAAAACAGGUUUUUUGCUGUCUCUGCACAUAACAGCCCUUGGCUUCCAGGAGAAAAAAAUCCUCCAGAAGGCCACAUCUCUGCAGCUCUGGUCUGGAGCGUGCUCAGUGCAGACACCAUCUGUGUAGGAUUUAACUACUAGGUGUGAAUUGAGAUUUUUUUGGAGGAUUUGAACUUGGCCAAGUUUGAGAACAUUUCCACAGAGAUGGCAAGGCUGAUACUAAGGCCACCUCCUUGAGAGAAUCAGAAUUUCUGACGUUAGGAAACAUCUUAUGUCCUGGAAAUGAGCAAAAAUAAUAAUUACAAAAAAGAAAUCCAGCUAGGCAGACUCUACCUUGGAAAAUUUCAGCUCAAACUGUUAGAGUGUGAGCUUGCCACAAGCCACUGAAAACAGGGCCUUAUAAUACAAUGACGUCACCGUUCAUAAACGUAUUGUGAAUUGCAGAGUCUCUGGUGGUUUUCUUCAUCUCCCAGCUCCUGGAUGCAUGUGAUUACACAAGUAAUUCCACUUUUAUUUCUUAAAAAAAAGAUAUCCCAUAGUUUGUAGCCUGCAUGGUUGCAGGAGAGAACUUGAAAACAUGACCCUGGUACAAUUUAAAGGCUUGGAAAUCCAAAUCCAAAUAAAAAGAACCCAAAUUAUGUAUAUAUAUAGAGAGAGAGAGAGAGAGAGAAAGAUCUAUUUAUAUGCACAUACAUAUAUAUAUACAGUAUACACACAUAUACUAUAUAUACAUACACACACAUUUUAUUUAUAUAUAUAUAUAUAUAUAUAUAUAUAUAAAAUAUGUGUGUGUAUAUAUAUAUAAUGCGUGUGUAUGUAUGUAUACCCAAAUGCCAAAUAUUUACAUAUAUAUACAUAUAUAAAAUGUGUGUGUGUUUAAGAAACAUGAUUUUCUAAGAUAAUCAUGGUUUUAGGAGCCUUGAGUCAUGGUAUUUGAAUGCUUGAGGUUUGCAAUCCUGUAAUGGAAAGUGUUGGGCAAACUUAACUAUAAGCACUGCUGGCGAUUGUGCCUAAAAACACACUGUUUUGUUUUCAAUUUGAACCUCUGUGUCUCUCCGGUUCUGCCAGGGUGUUGUCUGUUUGCAUCACCUUUUCUGCUUUGAUUUUUCUGCUUCAGUUUUCUCCUUGCAGGAGAGGGUGAGCUGUAUGUAUUUAAAGUAUCUGUGUAGUUAGGGUACAGCUUGAUUUUGUUUUAUGCCUUUUUGGAAGAGAGUGGCAUUUGCUAACUGCCGCCAGGCUGGCCUUUCUAUUUCGGUACAGCUGAGUACUGUAUGUCUCUCUAUUUUGGUCCCAACAGCGAGCUACUUAGAGAGUGUUAGGCCAGACCUUGAAAUUUGUGCAUGUUCAUUAAUCUAGUUUAUUAUUUGCAUUGCCAUAGCAUGCACAUGGUGCACUUAGCAUCCAGGCUCCAUUUUUCUGAGUGCCGGACAAUGCGUAUAGCAAGAGACAGUCUCUUCCCCCAAAGGGCUCACGGUCCAAGCCCCCUAAACCUGAGAACACUUAGGCACGUAUAUAACUACGUAUAUGACUACUCUCACAGGAGUCCACUGUCUCCUUCCCUAAGUUAUAGACACGUUUAAAUGUUCUUGAUGCUCAGGGUUCAUUUUAGGACAAGGUGCAAGAGAUCAGUGCAGGUGGAAGAGUGAGAGUACCGGGGCUGGGAAAAGCUACUUACAUAGAUCAGCGCUGUGCACUCUUAGCAGACUUUGAGUCCAUUUUUUGCCUUUGAUAUAAAAUAACCCAAAAAUAUAAAUAUCAGUGUUUUCUAAUCCCUUAUGCCCUCAUGCUGACCUCUUCUCCAGCAGUGAUUUUUACUGCCUGCCGUUUCCCAUAGUUCGGCCUAUUGCAUCACAACGGCAUUAUUUUCUCUGUAAUCUGCAUAGUUGUUUUUUUUUCUGUGCUAGCUUUUAUUUUAGCCUCAUAUGUCUGGUUUUGUUGUUAAUCCUUUGGGCUCGCAGGCUCUAAACUUCCAUUUUAGAGGAGGGGGAUGCACGUAGGUCAGGACUGAUCUGUGCUGGGGGAGAGGCUGGGAAUUGGGAAAAGGUGAUCUGUAUUGCACGCGUGGGGAGGAUGCAUGGAUGGAUGGGACUGUAGCAAUGAGGAUCGCUCUGAAAUUGCACAGGGGAAUAUUUUUGGUGCCGGGUAUUCAUGACUGUCACCUCCCCCCUACUUCUGUUUGGGUUUAAAUUCAUCGUUUGGGAGGAAAGCGUAAACCUGAACUUUACUGGAGGCUCCCUAUGUCUGACAAAAGGGUGCUUAUGCCCGAAAGCUUGCAAAAAACGUUUUUCCAAUUAUUGAGUUGUUCUAAUAAAAGAUAUCGCAUUAACCCAAAGAA